rnacentral:rRNA from 1 species
UAGGGAAUUUUCCACAAUGGGCGAAAGCCUGAUGGAGCAACGCCGCGUGCAGGAUGAAUGCCUUCGGGUUGUAAACUGCUUUUACGAGUGACGAAUAUGACGGUAGCUCGUGAAUAAGGACCGGCUAACUCCGUGCCAGCAGCCGCGGUCAUACGGAGGGUCCAAGCGUUAUCCGGAAUUACUGGGCGUAAAGAGUUGCGUAGGUGGCAUUGUAAGUUGGUAGUGAAAGCGUUCGGCUCAACCGGAUACACAUUACCAAAACUGCAAAGCUAGAGGAUGAGAGAGGUUAUUGGAAUUCCCUGUGUAGGAGUGAAAUCCGUAGAUAUGGGGAGGAACACCGAUGGCGUAGGCAGAUAACUGGCUCAUUCCUGACACUAAGGCACGAAAGCGUGGGGAGCAAAC